rnacentral:lncRNA from 1 species
AAAUCAACACAUUCUAACAGCACAAUUACAUACAUAAACCAGAACAACCACUAAAUCUAAGCCUUCUUGGGUGACUUGGUAGCUUUGGAAGGAGAUUUUGGUGCCUUUUCAGCUCCAGUCUUCUUUGGCAACAAAACUGGAUUAAUGUUCGGAAGAACACCACCAUGCGCAAUUGUCACACCAGCAAGAAGUUUGCCCAACUCUUCAUCAUUCCUCACUGCUAAAAGCAAAUGCCUUGGGAUGAUUCUCGUCUUCUUGUUGUCACGAG